UUCAGGAAAAAAUUGCCAAAAACUUCUCCUUCAUGGAUCAAUGGGAAAAUCGCAAGAUGCUGCGAAAGUGGAUUAUGCCAUGUAUUUCCUGAACAGAUUAGCUGAUUGCAUUUGGCCUCGGAAAUGAAUGUGCUUCAGAAGCUGAUCUGGCGAUGCACUAACAGCUGAAGAGACUUAGAAGAAAGUGAUCCUCAGACAAACGCUAUUAUGGAAUUGGUAGUUGGUCCUAAGAUCAAUAGAGGGCUAUAUUGGCAAAUAAGCUUGCGGUUGAACGCCCAAGAAGCAAGAUUUAAAUAAGUCUUGCUGGUGUAAAUCCUCGAUCCUCGCUACUGGUAUUCGAAUCCCACGCCAACAGUGGCCUCCCAUCUAGUCAUUUUCAAAAGAAGCCGAUGCGGAAUCGAGUGAUCAAGCAAUGCACAAGCGUCUUCCAAGUCGCAAGAAACGACGUGGCCAUGGAGUCCUUGGAGAGAUGAAAUCUAGAAUCAUCAAGAGGAGGCAAUCCUGUGUAUUUGAUCUGUAAUCACAUGUGGGAAAUAAAUAACUUAUGAUGCAUGUAGAGUUUAUGUCAAAUAUAUAUUUGCGUUUGU